rnacentral:lncRNA from 1 species
GAAGAAUAAAAUCUCCUAGGUCUCACUGGCUCCGUGCUUUUGUUGCCCAUAGUUUUAACUCUUCUUGAGGUAGACAUUCCUGCAUUAAAUCAUCCAAAUAACAUUCACAGAAACAUCAUUAGAGGUUUGUACAUCAUCAAUUUUAUAACUCGGAUCACACAUAAUCCAGUUUUGAGGGAAAAUAGGGCCCCUCAAUAGACAAACAUCCAAAAAUUCCAGCAUUUAAACAAAAUCUGUUGUAG